CCCUGGAUUCGCACACACUCACUCUUCGGGAUGACCUGCCUGUGACAUGAAGCUGAGAACUGGUAGCCCUUGUUAGAGGAACACGUGCUUCCAGACCAGAUAGACUCUCCCUCUGUUGCCCAGGCUGGAGUGCAGCAGCGUGGUCCCGGCUCACUGCAGUAUUAACCUUCCCUGGCUCAAGUGAUUCUCCUGCUUCAGGUUCCCGAGUAGCUAGGACUACAGUUCUUCUUGCUGCCACCAUGUGAAGAAGGACAUGUUUGCUACCCCUUCCACCAUGUUUGUAAGUUUCCUGAGGCCUCCCCAGCCAUGGUAAACUGUGAGUCAAUUAAAACUCUUUCCUUUAUAAAUUACUCAGUCUUGGGGAAGUCUUUAUUAGCAGCAUGAGAACUGACUAAUACACAUACACAUAUUUUUGAGUUAUAGGACAUAUCAGCAAGAAAUGUCAACCCAGCCUCAAAGUAAUUCAAGAAUAAAAAUAAAAUUGGUAGAGAAAAUGCACUCAAUUAAGUACUACACUGAAAGACAUUUGAGUUGCUCCAGUCUGUUUCUAUUACCAAUAAUGCUAUAAACAUAAUUAUGAAGGUCCACAAAUAAAUCUCUAGGAUGAGUUCUCCAUGAUGGAAUUACUUCUAGAAUAUUUUAAGAUUUAAUUUAAUAUCUACAUUUUAAGCUUCAUAGAAGCUUUUGCAUUAUAGUGACCUUCUUUCACCUAACAGUUUUUUAACCUAGGUUUCAAAUUUGUCAUUUAUAUAUACAGGUUAAACAUCCCUUAUCCAGUAAUCUGAAACUCGAAAUGGUAAAAAAAAACCUGAAACUUUUUGAACAAUGACAUGAUGCCACAGUUGGAAAAUUCCACACCUGACUUCAUAUGACAGGUUGCAGUCAAUAGAAUGAAUGAUUGAAGGAUUAGAUAGCACAGGUGCACAACACACAGCUUAUUCAGUGCCUCAAGGGGAAAAAAGACCCUCCUAACACCCAUCAGCUAUGAUAUAUCUUUUCUGCACAUGCCCAGAUUCCCUCAUGCAAGCACACUCACAAAAGGUAAUAAAAUGGCACAUGUGUAGGCUGGAUGCACCAAGGAAAUUUCCUUACAAUGGCCCACAAAGGGGUCAAGACCAACAGACAUUACUCGUACUUUUUUUGCUUACUCUGCUUUUUGAUGUAAAGAUAUUGUUAAAAAAGUCAAAAAGGCCUGCAGAUACCCCAAUGGGUAACAGCGAUGAGAAAAUAAGGAAACAUUUUGUUUAUCUAUAGCACAGAAAGUCAAGCUGUUAAGAGAAACUGGACAGCAGCGUCUCAGUGUGAAAUGUCUUCCAGAAGAGUAUGGUGUUGGAAUGAAGACCAUAUACCACCUGAAGAAACAGAAGGAAAAACUGUUGAAGUUCUAUGCUGAAAGUGAUAAGCAAAAGUUACUAAAAACUAGAAAAUCCCUGCAUACAUUGCCCAAUUGUGAAAGAGCCAAAAUGGUUCUGAAUCAAGGUGAUUGUGAUAAUAUUAACAAUGAAGAUGAUAUUAACAGUGCAGAGAAAUGUGUCUGUAGACUAACAUGGCAAAAAUGUGUGAUGGGCUUAUAGAAGAACUAAAGCAGUGGGCAGUGAUAACAGAACAAGAAUUCAUGUCAGUUUAUAAAAUCAAAGAGGAACUUCGAAGACAAAAACAUUAAUGAGGCAGCAUUAAUGAGGAAAUAUUUUUUAAAGCCAACAGCAGAAUGCCUCUUUCUCCCUAGAGAACCCAUUUCCUAGUCCCCCGACUGCUUCUGAUGUUUCUUCUCACCGAAGGAAAUAAAAUACAGUGUAUUUUAAUCAAAACACAGCAUUGCAGGUGGGGACUAAGUGCUUGCAGUUGUUUGCUGCUGCUCUUUCACAGCUGAUAGAGGUGUUCUGGUGAUGCCACUCUGCUGCUUAGUUACCCUAAACACAUUAUUUUUUCACUAUAUUAAUGGUGUGCCAUAUUGUUUACUUUUAAGCACUUUUGUGUGAAUAAGUGUAAGAAAAUGAUUACUUAUUGUUAGGAUAUAAAUUCAGAGUCAGGAAUGAUGGCAAUGCCAAACAACCAGAGAUGGUCCACAUAGGUGGCUGAGAGAGUGACACAUUUACUUUCUGAUAGUUUCUUGUACAUGAACUUCAUUUCAUGCACGAAAUAACUAAAAAAUAUUUUAUAAAAUUACCUUCAGGCUAUGUGUAUAAAGUGUAUAUGAAACUUAAAUGAAUUUUGGGUUUAGACGUUGGUCCCAUUUCCAAGAUAUCUCAUUAUGUAUAUGCAAAUAUUUUAAAAUCAGAAAAAAACCCCGAAAUUCUAAACACUUCUGGUCCCAAACAUUACAGAUAAAGGAUAUUCAACCUCUAUAUGUCAUAAUAAGCUUUCCUUUUGCUUCCAUUUGCAUUUUUGCUUUUUGAAGAAGCAAAGUGUACAACUGUCAAGAGCACAAUUUCUGGAGUCAGAUUGCUUGGGUUCAAAAUGCAGUUCUGCCCCUUUUAAUGGAAACCUGAGAAAGAUACAUAUCUCUUUAUCAUUCUUGAUUUUUGAAAUAUGGAUAAAUAAUACCUACCUCAUCGAUCAGGGUUAGGCUUAAUAAAUUAUUUUGUAUCCAGUGAUUUACAUAGUGUUAAUCUGAGGUAGAUGUUGUUAUUACAUAGUAAGACCUGUAUAUAAUUCACUUUACUUCCUAAUCUCUGGAAUUCUUUGGUUCCAAAUGUACCUCUUGCCUCUUAAAUUUAAAAAGGAAAAUCUCUGCAAUGCAUGUGUAUUUGACUCUUAGAUUAGAGAACAAAUGUAGCUAAAUGUGAAAUAAAAGUUUUGGGAUAAUACCACUUUUACUUAUGCAUUGAUUUGAAGCUUUGUGAUAUUGUUAAUAUUCGAUAAUUUUGAUCUGCAAAAAUGGCAACUAAAUAUGCUUCAAUCUAAUACAUGAAUAAGAAGGGCCCUUUCAUGACAGGUUAGCUGAUUCAUAACAUAAGAAUUACUUAAUAUUAAAAAUGUCAUCCUUUAAGAUCCAGCUCUAAUGUUAUUUCUUUUCUAAAUAACUUCUCACCUUAUGCAAGAAGAUUUGUCAUUUGCACAAAUGGACUUUCAUGACACUUUACGAUGGUUUUACCUUCAUCUUUAUGUUCUUACUCUGUAAAUAUGACUUUCGCUAAUAGUAGACCAAUUUUGUCACUUUAUUUUUUAAUGAUCAGCACUGAGUUUUAUAUCUCUCAUAUAGUAGGUGCUCAAUAUACAUUUAUGUAGUUAAAAAAUGGAUGCAUUGGUGUAUGCAUGGGGCAGGCAUGAAUAGAACUAGCUUUAUGUGUUGGUCUGCACAAUUAAUACAUUAUCAAAAGCUUUCUCCCCCAAUUAACCUCCACUUCUGAUUUAUUAAUUUAAAAAGUGAAACAAUUAUAUUAUCUGCCCCUUGGUUUAAACCAGUGAAUAGUUUGAACAAAUGCCAUAAGAAAUUUUUUUUCAGUAGCUGUUAUGAAUGGGCCUUGUUGAGCCAUUCCUUAGAACAGGUUUUAAUUUAUAUAUAGAAGUAUUAACUAGAUGGGAGAUUUAGUAAUAUUAGAAGUGGGAGCCUAAUAGGUAAUGAGCAAACAAUGAAAAAUUGUAUCAGUUUGUUAGAUCUGCUUCUGGUAGGCAGAAGCAGAUCUUGUCUUCUUUCUCAGAUAAGAAAACCAGAGAGCUUUAUUAGUAAUGCCAUAUUAUAAAAAAAUAGCCAACAUUUCUUAAAUGUCUACCAUGUAAUAGACAUGUCCUAAGCAUUUUAUAUAUGUUCCCCCAUUUAUUUCUUAUUGAAGCUCACAAAAUAACCAACACUAUUAUCUGCUCUUAUAAAUAGAGUAACUGAGACAUAGGGAGGUUAGAUGUUUUUCCUAAGGUCAUAUAGCCAGUUAGUAGAAGAGCUAAAGUUCAUACCCAGACAUCUACUCAAGAGCUGUGUGGUUAAGCAUUAUUCAGAGCAGCUUUUCUGGGAUGGGUAUCUUCUGUUUGACCUCUUUGCAGAUACACUUUUCCUCCUUCUCAAUCCUGCUUUCCUGGAGGCUGACCAAGCUGCUAUUAAUGGGCUCACUUGCCUUCUAGCCACAGGUAGGGUUUGGUCUAUACGGCAUAAUAGCAGAAGAGAAAAUGAGAAGAGAAUGAGGUCAGGACUCUGAUUAAGCCAUGAAAUUUUAUUUUAAAUGUGAACAUCAACAAAAUAAUUAUAUUGAAACUUACAUUGACCUCCCUAAUCUUGACAAUUUUUGAGGUAUUUAACAUUCCACUGCAGAUAGUUGAGUUUUAGAAGAUACAACUUUCUGAAAAAUCAAUGACAAAAUUGGUUGCCCUGCUUCCCUCCCUGUUACAUUACUGAGAAUUGGCUGUGUCUCUGUAUAAAGACCAGAGUUCCUUAAGUGAUCUCCGCACAUCAUCACACCCUCCAUAUUCCAAUAACUUUUGUCCCUUCAGGUAUAGAGGUAGGAAAAUCCCCCAGUGUUACUAGCCCUAUGGGGUCUGCACUAUCCCUUUUUGGAUUAUUUAAACCCUGCACAUAACUUUUAAAAAGUGUCUCUAGUUCUUAUCAAAUUAUCCUGUUUGUGUGUUCCAGUUAUUUCCUACCCAAAAUCAUGACUGAAUAAUUGUCUAAUAAAGCAUUCAAUUAUAUUUUUGAAAACAUUAUGCCAUGAUGUCGUAUGAUUAUGCUUUUUUGCUCAAUAUAUAGCAAGCACAUUAGUGCUGAGCACAUGUGAAGUGUUUAAUUAAUUAAGUGCUUAUUUACUGUAAAAUUUUAAGGCUUUUAAAUUAAGAUGCUAAAAUAACAUAUGAUUGUAUUUAGAAUUUAUUAUAAUUUUGGUAUUAAAUGAAAAUGAUAAACCUUUCAAAAGGAACAUGGGGAGAUCUACUUUUCAAAAGAAUAAUGGUUAAUCACUGUGGCAUUAUUUCAUAAAGUAUAAUGUCUAGAAGGCUUUAAAGUCAAAACAGAGAGGCAUAUGAAAGAGCUGUAUACUUUUGCCCAAUAAGAGUGAAAGAAAUUUUUAUCAGCAAUUGAUUUUAGUGAUAGCUUAUCUUCACUUCAUAUUACACAACACCCUAAUAAAAAUAUAUGAUAGAGGACUCAUCAUUGUGGAAAAAAAUAAAUGUUAAUUGCAGGACAGUUCAAAUGUUGGCCUUGGACUAACUCAGUUCUCCCUUUCUCGCUUGCAGUUCUCAAGAAUAAGUGUAGAAUGUUCUGGGAAUGCAACAUCCUGAAAUACAGAGAAACAGGUUAGAAUAGCCCAGUCUCCGUCUUUGUCCUUCCUGGGACAAGAUAUUCUACAAAACUUUAACCCAUUGAUUUGUGUAGCUUGGGGUUAUAAAACCCAGGGCAGGUGUUUUUUGUAGUCCCUUAGCAAUGAUAUGAGGUGGGGUACCUGUAGAUGAGAGUCCAUUUGCCCUGGGCAGCUUUCCUGAGCCUUGGGAGAUGGACCCACUAUGAAUCUCAGGCUUCUACUCUCCCUUUCUGCCUAUCUGUAAGUAAUACAGUUGCUUUACUCAACUUGUGUGAGUAUUCUAUCCCAGUAUACUCAUACAAAUUGUAGAAAUUACAGCCCAAGUUGCAGUGGGCUGAAAUGGUAACCACUGUGCAGUGAUCCUGCUUUGCACUUAUUUAACAAGUGAUUGAAGGAAUUAGGUAUUAUUUACUUAAAGAUUCUCUAAUCUCAAACUUAUUUCUUGAAGUCCUGAGAAAUAGAAUAAGAGCAUAGCUUUCUGGAUUCCAAAAUUACUGUUCUUUCCACUGCAUCCCACCACUUUAAUGACAGUAUGCUAAUGAACAUGCACACCUCUGUAGAAUUAUUUAUAAUGACAUUUGUGAAAAAUUUUUAUGCAUUUAUGUUUUAGGCAGAUGCUAAACCCCAUUGAACAAUGGUUUCUUAAAGAGUAAACCCAUUUUAUCCAAAAGAGGUCACAUGGCUGUGUGGUGUCUUGACUGAUGCCACAAAUGACAUUCCUAGCCUUGGACCCAGGACCUCCUAUGUGAUAUCCUACAUUCCCUCUUUCUUUGCUUGCUGUCUGUCAGCCAAAUAUAAAGAAUCCAGGAAAAGACUCCUAAGACCUAGGGAAUGUACAUAAGUGGAUACGUGGUAAAGAGUUAUUUAUUCCAACCAGCUUAAACUAUGAAAUGAGCAAGAAAUGUAUUGUGUUAAGAUUCUGAGAUUCGUGGUUUUCUUUUAUACUUAGAUUUCCCUGAUUGAUACAGAAAUUGAAGGUAACUUUCUUCACAUGAUAAAAGCUGUCUACAAAAUAAUAACAUUAUUAUUAUUUGCAUAGCAAUUGUAAAAUACUAAAAGUAUUUUUAUUGAAAUGCAAAAUAAAUGUUAUCAUUACUUCUUUUUUUCAAAAUUGUAUUAAUACUUAACAAUGCAUCCAAUCAAGAAAAAUAAACAAUAAGUAAAAAAAGAAAGAGUAAAAUAAAAAAGUAAUUAAUGACAAAAUAUUAUUAAAGUUAAUAUGAAGAUUUAGCACAAUUGCUAGACAUAAAAUCAGUCAUAAUUAUCAGUUGCAUUUCUAUCCUACAGUAACAAGCAUGUUUGUUGUUUACAAGAUGACAAUGACAUAUGUACAGUUUGAAUAUAACAAAGAAUAACUGAAGAAAUAAGUUGAACAAAAAUAUAUAAGACCUUUAUGUUGAAAAAAUACAGUGAAAGAACUUAAAAAAAACCUGAAAUAACUGUAGAUAUACAAUGCUUAUGGAUAAGAUGUCUCAGAAUUCUAAAAUUACUUUUGGUCCUGAAUUGCUCUCUAGAUUCACUACAUUCUUAACAAAAUGUUAACAUGGUCUUAAUGGAUCAUGUCAAGCUGAUUUUAAAAUGUAUAUUAAAGGCUGGGUGUGGUGGCUCACGCCUGUAAUCCCACCACUUUGGGAGGCCAAGGCAGGUGGAUCACCUCAGGUCAGUAGUUCGAGACCAGCCUGGCCAACAUGGUGAAACCCUGUCUCUACUAAAAAUACAAAAAAGUAGCCGGACAUGGUGGUGGCUGCCUGUAAUUCCACAUACUCAGGAGGCUGAGGCAGGAGAAUCACUGGAACCCAGAAAGUGGAGGUUGCAGUGAGCUGAGAUUGUGCCACUGCACUCCAGCCUGGGUGACAAGAGCAAAACUCCAUUUAAAAAAAUUUCAAAAAAGAAAAAAAAAUAUAUAUAUAGAAGUUCAAAUGCCAAAAAUUAUCAACACUCUUUAAAAAGAUUAUCUCUUUGAGGAAAGAGGGUAGGCCAACUACUUAUCAAGACUUGUUAAAAGAAAAUUAAGAAAAUGUUUAUUAAGAAAAUAUAGCAAAGUUUAUUGUCAUAGGAAUAUGAGAUUAGGCUAAUAAAACAGAAACAUGAUAUGACAGCCAUCACUAAAGAUCUGUGGUGAAAAUUCACUAUUCUAUAAGUUGUACUGGGACAUCUGGGUACUUGAAAAAAUACAAUGUGAUCUCUACUCUAUGACAAAUAAUUUUGGAAGACAUAUUUAAGAAGAAAACAUAGGAGAAUAUCUUUACAUCCCUAGGGUAAGGACUCAUGAUGUUUAAAGAGUGAAAACCAUAAGGAAAAAUAUUGAAAAUUUUGAUACUUAAAAAAAAACUUCUAUUUGUCAAAAGUCAUUAGGAAAUGUGAAAAGAUAAACCAUAAUCUGGGAAAUAGCAUUUUAACAUAAAUAGUUCUAAAUAGAAUAGCGUAGCAUAUAGAAUAUAUGCGAAACACCUAUUUAUUUUAAACCCAAUGAUUUAAUAGAAAAAAGAGCAAAAGGAAAGGAAACAUAAAUGUUCAAUAAAAUAUGAAUCAACAUUCAACCAUAUUAAUGCUUAGAAAAAUGCAAAUUAAAAUUCUUAUGAAAUGAUUCACACCAAGUAGAUUUAUAAAAAUGUAAAAAGUGUUACAAUACUAAAUGUUGGCAGUGUGGUGCAACAACAGAAAUUAUAUCCUAUGGUUGGGGAGUGUUAACUGAUUGAGGCAUUAUGAAAGAUAACCUGUCAUUACUAAGUUAGGUUUAACAUAUAUAUACUUGAUGACCCAAAAAUUUCAUUUUCAUGUGCAAAUCUUAGAGAAUAGUUUAUCUUGUUUUGAAUAUCUGAGACGGAAUAUUCAUAAUAGCAUAUAUAUUUUUGUUUGUUUGUUUUGAGACAAAGUCUUGCUCUUGUCCCCCAGACUGGAGUGCAAUGGUGCCAUCUCGGCUCACUGAAACCUCUGUCUUCUGGGUUCAAGUGAUUCUCCUGCAUCAGCCUCCCGAGUAGCUGGGAUUACAGGCACCUACCACCACGCCUGACUAAUUUCUGUAUUUUUAGUAGAGACGGGGUUUCACCAUGUUGGCCAGGCUUGUCUUGAACUCCUGACCUCAGGUGAUCUGCCCACUUCGGCCUCCCAAAGUGCUGGGAUUACAGGUGUGAGCCACUGCCACUGCGCCUGGACUUCAUAAUGUUAGUGUCAGUAAUAACAAAAAAAGAAACCUUGAAACUACUGAAAGGUAUGGGAACAGUAGAAUGAACAAAAACAAAAUUAUAAGAUAUCAAACAAUAGAAUUUUCUACAGCAGUAUAACUCAAUGAAUUGUGGAUAAAUGCGCCCACAGAUUUCAACCUUAAAAUUAUAUAUUGAGAGAAUAUGCAAAGAAUAGAGAAUCAUACAUGUGGUAGGAUUACAGUUAUAAAUGAGUAUAGUAAAAAAUAAAAGAAAAUGCUCUUAGUAGGAAUAUACAUGUUUGCUAAAACUAUCAAAGAAUAGCAAGGAGAUAAGUAUCUCAAAAUUUUACAAAUGGCUUCCUACAGGUUUAAAUAGAAAAGUGACACAAGGUGACUUCAAAGGGCUGGGUAUUAUAAUAUUUCUUACAUUCCAUGUAUAGAGGCAUUCUCUUAUUAUGAAAACCUAGAUAGAUAGAUAGACAGAUACAGAUAUGUAUAAAAUAAACACUUUUAUAUGUGUAAUCUUUCACAAUUAAAAAAGAGAAAAAACUAUAAAGUACCAUUUUUCCACAUUUAUAGAAAGAGAGAGUACAACAACAUAGUGAGAAGUUUUAUGAAAGUGAGAUAAUUGAACUUGUUUACAGACUGGAAGGAAGGUACAUAAGUGAUGAUGAAAUUUAUAAUAUUGGAUCAAAUUAAAUUAUGGAUGAAGCAGGGUCUUUAAAGAAAUGGAGUGGAAGUAAACUUCAGUGCAUGUAGAGGAAUAUCUUUUCCCAGGAGAUGGGACAUCCCUUUGAGACCAGAAUAAAGUGGCUGAAGAUGAGCAUAGUUACAGUAAUUUAGUUACUCUGGAGUCAGGCAUCUGAGAGAAUUCAUACUUUGUAGUUUUAGUUUUUCCUUGUGAAAAAAGAAGAGGCAAGUUCUUGCUCAGAAAGUGUGAGAUGGCAGUAGAGGAGAGAAAAGAAGAAAAAUAUUUACAUGGUCAACAUAGAGCUGCUCAUUGAUACCUGAUUCUCAUCUCAUUCUGGGCACCAUGAAGCACCAAAUUCCUGCCCUUUUGUUGUUUAAUGGGACCAGACUUCUAAUUCUGGUCAAUGAGUUUUGGGCAGAAGUGGUGUGUGUCACCUCCAAGCUGGAGCACUCCUCCUGAAUGCCAGCUGUACUUUGACCUUCCUCAGUAACUGUGGAAGAAUGCGUCAACAUGGAUGCUACAUUGGCCUUGAUGCCUGAGUGAUAAUGAGGAACACAGCCCCUGGCCACUCUAUUCAGACAAGUAGAGUGAGUGAAAAGCAAACAUUUGUUUUCAAUAUUAUGAACAUUUCAAAAUUGUUUGUUAUCUAAUGUAAUAUACCUGAUACAGUUUAGAAUAGUUUUUUGGCUUUUGUUUGCUUUAUUUUUGUGAGGAUUUUUGGAUUUUUUUUUUUUUUUAAAUGAGAAUGGGAAAGUAACCUCAGGAGCAAGUAACAUUCUUGCUUACUGGCACUUGGGAUCUAGUUUUAGUUCCUGCAAAACAGAUUAUUUGGGUUUUUAAAUUUGUUUCCUUGUUUCUAAUUUUAGUUUUACUUUUCAAUGUUGGCUUUUGAGGUAUCCUUCUUUGAUGCCUAGUUUGUUGAGGUUUCUAUCAUGAACGGGUGUUGAAUUUUAUCAAAGCUUUUUCUGCAUUUAUUGAGAUAAUAACACAGUUUUUAUUUUUAAUUCUGUUUAUGUGAUGAAUCACAUUUCCUAAUUUGCAUAUGUUAAACCAGCCUUGCAUCCCAGGAAUAAAGCCUAUUUUAUCAUGGUGGAUUAUUUUUUUGAUGUGCUGCUGGAUUUGGUUUGCUACUAUUUUGUUGAGGAUUUUUAUGUCAAUGUUCAUCAGGACUACUGGCCUGAAACUUUCUUUUUCACUGUGUCUCCCAGGUUUUGGUAUCAGAAUGAUGCUGGCCUGAUAGAAUGAGUUAGGGAGGAGUAUCUCCAUCUCCAUUUUUUUGAAUAAUUUCAGUAGGAUUGCUACCAGCUCACCUUUGUGCAUCUGGUAGAAUUAAGCUGUGAAUCUAUCUGGUUCAGGGCUUUUUCUGGAUGGUAGGGUUUCUUUUUAAAUUACUGAUUCAAUUUCAGAACUCAUUAUCAGUAAGUUCAAGAUUUUGGUUUCUCUCUGGCUCAAUCUUGGGAGGCUGUAUGUUUCCAGGAAUUUAUCCAUUCCUUUCAUGUUUAUAGUUUAUAACAGGGUUUAUUGUAUUUCUGUGGGGUCCAUGGUAAUGUGUCCUCUGUCAUUUCUGAUUGUGUUUAUUUGGAUCUUCUCUUUUUUUCUGUACUAAUCUAUUAAUCUGGCUAGCAGUCUAUCAAUCCUAUUUAUACUUUUGAAGAACAAAUGUUUGGUCUUGUUGGUAUUUUGAAUGGGUUUUCAUGUCUCAGUUCAGUUCAGCUCCGAUUUUGGUUAUUUAUUUUCUUUUGCUACGUUUGUGGUUGGUUUGCUCUUGUUUUUCUCAUUCCUCUAUGUGUGAUGUUAGGUUGUUAUUUUGAGAUCUUACUAACUUCUUCAUGUAGGCAUUUAGUGUUAUAAACUUUCCUCUUGACACUGCUUUAGCUAUAUCCCAGAGAUUCUGUUAUGUUGUAUAUUUGUUUACAUUCAUUUCAAAAAAUAUUUUGAUUUCUGCCUUAAUAUCAGUCUUUAUCCAAAAUUUGUUCAGGAGUAGGUCAUUUAAUUUGCAUGUAAAUUUAUGGUUUUGAGAUAUCUUUUUGGUAUUGAUUGAAAGUGAUUUAUGUACCAGAAACAACUGGCUGAAGAAUUGGAGAAUCAUCAAACUAAGGAAAGGAUUUUCCUAAAAAAAUAUAUACUAGUUGGACAAUAAAAAGGAACAUUGUUUAUGAAUAAAUUUAGGAGGGUACUCAAAACUGAGAAGUAGAAUCAAUUUUAGAGUUUCAAGUAGAGAUCACAUGGAUAGUUAAUAGCAUUCAAAACAUGUAAAUAAUUUCUUAGUCACACAAAUAUAAAAAUACCACUGUUGCCUUAAGAAAUUGUCCUGUCACCCUGUCAAAUUUCUAUAAAAAGGCAAACAAACUAGUAUAUUUUUAAAACAAAUCUCUACCAAAUAUUAUUAACAUUUGAAUUCUUUUCUUCAUGCUAAAACUUUUAAGCCAGAUCACUUUAUUCUUGGAGUAAGAAGACAAAUGUCUUUAAAGAAGCUUCCAAUUUAUUCUAAUGUAAAUUUUCUGAAAUUAGUUUCAUAAAUUUAUAAAUUAUUAAGUGAUGCAACAUUCCUAGAUAUUCAAAAUUAAAUAUGUUAUACUGUGUAUUUAAUUACACUUAUAUAUAAAGUUCAAAUAAAAUAAAACAGGAUAUAAUUCUCUAGAAUAUUCAGCAUUUUUAAACCUUUUCUUUGUACCAUUAUCUAAUAUCUUUGCAUAGGUAAAUCCUAUAAAUUCCAUCUCAGAAUAAUAUUUUAAUACAUUAAACAUAUAAUUACAAUGAAAAGUAAUAAUAACAAAAUACAUUACUAAAACACAGCCUUUGAAGGAAUGAUUUAAUAGCUCUAGAUUAAGAAUCUAGAAAAUAUAUAUUUCAUUAAAAUGAUUAUUUUCACCUUUAUAUAAACUUGUUUAAAAGUUUUUAAUAACGGAUUAAUGGUAUACAGAACUGUUGAUUUCUAUAUGUUCAUCUUGUAUGUGGUCACUUAAUUAUCUUUUUAGUUAUAAUAGUAUUUCUGUUAACUCUCUUUUCUAGAUACACAAUACAGUAAUAACAUCUGCAAAAAACUUGUUUCAGUAUUUAAUGUUUAUAAAUAAUAUUUUUUGAUUAUGUAAGUAAUAUAAGCUUACUGCAAAAAAUGAAAAAACACAGAAAAACAUGUAGAGAUGAGAAUUGUCAAUAUUUAAUGUACACAUUUCCAGAAAGUUGGUAUUGUUUCAUUUUAAUAAAAUCCUGUUAUUUCCAACAACGUUGAUGAAUUGGAGGAUAUUAUGUUAAGUGAAAUAAGCCAGGCACUGAAAGACAUUCUCACUAAUAUGUGGGAGCUAAAAAAAUAUAUAUUGAACUCCUGGAGAUAAAGAAUAGAAUGAUGUAGAAUGCCAGAGGCUAGGAAGGGUAGCUUGGGGGAAGGACAAAGAGGGGAUGAUUAAUGCCUACAUACAUACAGUUGGAAAGAAGAAAUAAGAUUGAGUGUUCUGUAGUACAAUAGAACAACAAUAGAUAACAAUAAUUUAUCGUACACUUAAAAAUAACUAAAAGGAUGGCACUGGAAUGUUCCUGACACAAAGGAACAUUGUGUUGAAGUGAUGAAUAUCCCAAUUACCCUGAUUUGAUCAUUACACAUUUUUUGCUGUGUCAAAAUAUCAGGUGUACCCCAUAAAUAUUUACAACUAUUAUGUAUACAUAGUAAAUACAAAUUUAAAAAAUAAAAAUAAAUCUCUAACAUAUCCAAAGCUGGUAAAGAAACGGAGUGAAAGCCAUUUCAUUUGCCUUAGGCAAAAGGAUCUUUACUGCAUUGCUAAUAUUCCCUAUUGACAGUUUAGUAAUAGCUAUCAAAAAUUUUAUGACUAUACCUUUGACUCAGCUAUUUUACCUUUAAGAUUUCUUCUGAGCAAAAACCUCAUAAAGUUGCACAAAAAUUAUCUACAACUAUGUUUAUGCUAAUAUUUUGAAUAAAAUUGGCUACUGUUUACUCAAUGCUUACUCUGUGCCAAGUAUUAUGCUAAAACUUUUAUGUACAUCACCUCAUUUCAGCCUUGUAAAAACCUCAUUGCCCCUUUCUUUUUAAUUUCCAUUAACAGGGAAGACUAUUUAAGCUUAGAUCUUAGGUGAGUUAGUCAAGAAUACACAAACAAUAAGUAUGUAAGUUAAAGUCAUCCAUCUCCAGAA